rnacentral:rRNA from 1 species
GAUGAACGCUGGCGGCGUGCCUAAUACAUGCAAGUCGAGCGAACAGACGAGGAGCUUGCUCCUCUGACGUUAGCGGCGGACGGGUGAGUAACACGUGGAUAACCUACCUAUAAGACUGGGAUAACUUCGGGAAACCGGAGCUAAUACCGGAUAAUAUAUUGAACCGCAUGGUUCAAUAGUGAAAGACGGUUUUGCUGUCACUUAUAGAUGGAUCCGCGCCGCAUUAGCUAGUUGGUAAGGUAACGGCUUACCAAGGCAACGAUGCGUAGCCGACCUGAGAGGGUGAUCGGCCACACUGGAACUGAGACACGGUACAGACUCCUACGGGAGGCCGCAGUAGGGAAUCUUCCGCAAUGGGCGAAAGCUUGACGGAGCAACGCCGCGUGAGUGAUGAAGGUCUUCGGCUCGUAAAACUCUGUUAUUCGGGAAGAACAAAUGUGUAAGUAACUAUGCACGUCUUGACGGUACCUAAUCAGAAAGCCACGGCUAACUACGUG